rnacentral:lncRNA from 1 species
GCAGCUCAGAUAUAUUGCAAUUUCAAGUAGAUAUUAGCAUUCUACUCAUCUUGAAGAGUAUGUAUGCCAAAUUUCGUUAGUAUCAGACAAUUGUAA